rnacentral:rRNA from 1 species
UACGAAGGGGGCUAGCGUUGUUCGGAAUUACUGGGCGUAAAGCGUGCGUAGGCGGCUUUGCAAGUCGGGUGUGAAAUCCCCAGGCUCAACCUGGGAACUGCAUUCGAGACUGCAUUGCUAGAGUAUGGGAGAGGGAAGUGGAAUUUCCGGUGUAGCGGUGAAAUGCGUAGAUAUCGGAAGGAACAUCAGUGGCGAAAGCGACUUCCUGGACCAAUACUGACGCUCAUGUGCGAAAGCGUGGGGAGCAAACAGG